rnacentral:rRNA from 1 species
AUUGAACGCUGGCGGCAUGCCUUACACAUGCAAGUCGAACGGUAGAGUAGCAAUACUUGAGAGUGGCGAACGGGUGAGUAAUAUAUCGGAACGUGCCCAGUUGUGGGGGAUAACGUAGCGAAAGUUACGCAAUACCGCAUACGAUCUAAGGAUGAAAGCGGGGGACUCGCAAGAGCCUCGCGCAACUGGAGCGGCUGAUAUCAGUUUAGGUGGUUGGUGAGGUAAAAGCUCACCAAGCCGACGAUCUGUAGCUGGUUUGAGAGAACGACCAGCCACACUGGGACUGAGACACGGCCCAGACUCCUACGGGAGGCAGCAGUGGGGAAUUUUGGACAAUGGGCGCAAGCCUGAUCCAGCAAUGCCGCGUGCAGGAAGAAGGCCUUCGGGUUGUAAACUGCUCUUGUACGGAACGAAAAGGUCCUGGCUAAUACCCGGGGCUCAUGACGGUACCGUAAGAAUAAGCACCGGCUAACUACGUGCCAGCCGCCGCCGUAAAAC